AGAGAAAUCUGUUCAGACCCGUUUUAUCCAGAAAUUUGUGUCUUUUGCAAAAAAAUAACAACUUUUGGAAAAAUGUGUGUGUUAGAAAAAUAACAGUUUUUCGGAAUGUUGAAUCUAAAGACAAAGCCGAGUGAACAACGACGGCACGAGAGACAUAUUCUUCUUAGCUCUUUAAGAAGUAAUGAAAGUGUUUCCUUAUAUAAGGACAACAAUUUCCCCUUCUUUUGUCGAUAUGGAGAAAUGACUUUUCAUUUGCACUUCAUAUUCUUUCUUUUCUUUUCCCAUCUACAUUUGCUAAAACCCAACGAUAGCUACAACGCACACAAACUCAAUAAUUUCUAUAUUUUUAUUAAAUGAUUUAUUCAAUAUAUAUUAAUACUUAAUUAUAAUAAUUAAGAUAAAUUAUGAGCUCAUAACAAAUUUAAAAUUCGUAAACUUUAUAUCCUAAAUUCCUAAUCCCGUCUAGUAGCAUAUAAUAUAUAAUGUAAUGAAAUGGAAAUUAAUAUUAUAUAGGAAGCUUUAUUAAUACCACAACUUUAGUUAAAUAUGUGUUAAGUUUAGUUAUAUUGUAUUGUUUGCUAAGAUUUUUUACAAAGCACUCAAGGUGCUUGACAAAAUGACUGACAGGAAAAAACACACCAAAAAGAGUACUUGUGUUCCUUUUUUUCCCCACCCAGUGUACCGAGCCCAGGUUGGAGUUUCGAUUAAAUUUGAAUCACGCUCUGUAUGGUUCAUUUGGGGUGGCGCUCCCAACAUGAUUUUCUCCAAACACAGCGCGAACCUGAGACCUUAGGUUAAGGUGAAACACUUUCACUAUUGUACCGCAACCCGUGUUGGUAGUACUUGUGCUCCUGAAUUUUUUUAUGACAAGGGAAAUCCGCAGCCGCUAUUCCUUCGGUGUGCACAGGGUAAAACCCUCACUUCCUAUGCAAUAACUCGCAAACCACAGAGGAGAAGUAACCCGCAGUGGGCAAGCCCGGUGCGACGAGUUCCACCCAGAAGGCAAACUUCGUACUUUCGCUGGCAAGGGGUUUCGAACUUGAGACCUCCAAUAUGGAAGUCUCAAGCCUAAACCGCUGGGCCACCCUGAAGGGUACUUGUGCUCCUGAUUUGAUAUGAAGAAAUGCAGUAAAUGGACAUGGAAUUGUGAAAAUGGAUGAAGUCUUGGAGAAGAUGGUGUCUAGGGAGUUAAAAGAUUGAUUCCCAGAUUGCCAAAUUGAUUGCAGGACAACCAUAACUCCGGAUACUCGAGCUCAAGCACCCUCCCCUGCUGCUUUUCAGAGGCCGAGCUAGAUGGAAGGUAUGAGUUCGGUAAAACCUAGUAAGUUUGGUCUAUACUCUUAAGAAAUUCACUAAAAAUAUGCGUAUAAUAAACUUCAAAUCAUGGAUCCGCUUUGAGGAGCAGGCUCUUCGAUCUUCACAAUGGUCAUUAUUUAAAAACCAAAAGUUUGUUAAUGACAAUUAUGUUUACCAAAGAAAAAUAUCAUCCUCCUCAUUGUAAAAAAACAACAACAAAAAGAACACUCCCAAAGUUCUGAGUUUCCAGCCUGUGCAUCAGAGCAGGACCAUUACUAUUUCUGUGGUCCUUAGUACUGUUAAUUUGUAGGUCUUAUAUUAUAGGACAAACUACUAUGUGGAUUUAGGCACAUCCAACGUGUAUCACAUGAUACGACUUCGUCUAAAUUAGUUUAAAUUUUUAAUGGACAGAUAUUAUUCUAAAAAAAAAUUACAAAUGUUCAAA